UACGUAGGGUGCAAGCGUUGUCCGGAAUUAUUGGGCGUAAAGAGCUCGUAGGCGGCUUGUCACGUCGACUGUGAAAACCCGAGGCUCAACCUCGGGCCUGCAGUCGAUACGGGCAGGCUAGAGUUCGGUAGGGGAGACUGGAAUUCCUGGUGUAGCGGUGAAAUGCGCAGAUAUCAGGAGGAACACCGGUGGCGAAGGCGGGUCUCUGGGCCGAAACUGACGCUGAGGGACGAAAGCUAGGGGAGCGAAUGGG
rnacentral:rRNA from 1 species